rnacentral:rRNA from 1 species
GACGAACGCUGGCGGCGUGCUUAACACAUGCAAGUCGAACGGAAAGGCCCUGCUUUUGUGGGGUGCUCGAGUGGCGAACGGGUGAGUAACACGUGAGUAACCUGCCCUUGACUUUGGGAUAACUUCAGGAAACUGGGGCUAAUACCGGAUAGGAGCUCCUGCUGCAUGGUGGGGGUUGGAAAGUUUCGGCGGUUGGGGAUGGACUCGCGGCUUAUCAGCUUGUUGGUUGGGUAGUGGCUUACCAAGGCUUUGACGGGUAGCCGGCCUGAGAGGGUGACCGGCCACAUUGGGACUGAGAUACGGCCCAGACUCGUACGGGAGGCAGCAGUGGGGAAUAUUGCACAAUGGGCGGAAGCCUGAUGCAGCAACGCCGCGUGCGGGAUGACGGCAUUCGGGUUGUAAACCGCUUUCGCCUGUGACGAAGCGUGAGUGACGGUAAUGGGUAAAGAAGCACCGGCUAACUACGUG